rnacentral:piRNA from 1 species
UAUGAGCCAUGCCCUGAGGAAGAAGA